AAAAUGGAUGCUGGGAAUAGUGAGUAGUUUGAACUGUGAGUGCAUGGUUCGUUUUUCACGAUUCUGCAUACUAAAUCGGAGACUUAAACAGUGAGACUACAGUUGCAAGGAUGGGCGUAUUUAGGGUGUUCAUGCGUUUUCUUCACAAACUCUGAUUCCUUCACAUAUGUAAAGAGUUGCACCCGAUAAUCCACUGCACGUUGCCGCGGAACUGUAAUUCUGUCGUGAUCUACUUGUUUGUCUUCGGAAUGCCAUACAGAUAGCCUUUGUGGGUACUGAAGAAUUCGUUUCAAUAGCUGCAGGGGGAAACAAAAAGAUGUCAAGGUUAGCAGAGCGUUAGAACUAUGCAUACAAAAACACGUUCACUCUCACAGAGACGGUAACGUCUAAUCUUGCUCAAGUUCGUUUUAUAUAUCCAGAUAUUUAAUACUAACAAAGAUCAAUACUGCCUUGAAAAUACGAACAUCUUGAGUGUUACUGUUACAACUUACAGUGUUAGAAGGUAACGCCAUGCGGUAGUUGAAAAAAAAAACCAUGUCACAGAGAUGCCGAGCGUUUAAAGGAAGAUGCGGCAUUGUGAUACUCCUGAUCGCUUUGGCCAUCUGGGGUCAUCAAACAGAAGCUGACAAG